UUUAAUAGCAUCCCGCUCUUAUUUCAGAAUAAAAAAAUUUUUAAGGUAUGUUGAGUAAGAAUCUAUAGAGCAAUGAAAAUGCAAGAGCAAUAGCUAUGGGCACCAAAUGGUCAAUCUUCUUAUCAUAAUGUUGAGUGGAAGAAGCCAGGUCCACCAGACACAUGCUGCUCAUUUAUGCAAAGUUUGGACACAGGCAAAACAAAACUAGUUUGAUCGUGAUGGGAAACAUUAGAGAAAUGCAAAGACAUGACCAUCAUAAUUGUCAGGAGAAGGCAUUGGUUAGGAUUGGGAAGCGGCAAGCAGAAGCAUUUAGGGAUUGGCUGGCAAUGUUUUACUUCUCGGCUGAGUGAGGGUUGCAUCGGUGUUUAUUUGAUAACACGUUCUAGGGGCUGGGCAAGAUGGCUCAUGUUUGUAGUCUCAGUACUUUGGGAGGCCAAAGAUGGGAGGAUUGCUUGAGCCCGUGAGUUUGAGACCAGCCUGGGUGACAUAGCGAGACCCUGUCUCUACAAAAAAUU
rnacentral:lncRNA from 1 species